GAUGAACGCUAGCGGCAGGCCUAAUACAUGCAAGUCGAGGGGCAGCAUUAGUACUUGUACUAGAUGGCGACCGGCGUACGGGUGCGUAACGCGUAUACAAUCUACCUAAUACUGGAAGAUAGCCCGGGGAAACUCGGAUUAAUAUUCCAUAAUAUCAUAGAUAGGCAUCUUGAAAUGAUUAAAGAUUUAUUGGUAUUAGAUGAGUAUGCGUCUGAUUAGUUAGUUGGUGAGGUAAUGGCUCACCAAGGCGACGAUCAGUAGGGGUUCUGAGAGGAUGAUCCCCCACACUGGCACUGAGAUACGGGCCAG
rnacentral:rRNA from 1 species